GGUAGCGAAGGGCUGGAGGCAAACACCGAGCUCCCCCUGAGCCGCCUGGGAGCAGGGAGGGUUCUGCUACCCUGAGGGGCCCUCCCCGCGGGGCAGAGGGGUUUCCUCAGCAGUGCCCCGGAGCAGGGACCGCGCCAGCCAGCAGAAACAGCUAGUUGUUGUCUGCAGUGAAGAAUAAUUGGAAGCAUGGUGCCUGUUUCUUUUCCUAGGAGUGUUCCACUGACUGACCUCUUUUUGUUUUCAAAUGAAGAGGAGCCAAGAAUAGGACAGCUUGGGAAGCUCAUCCUCGUCUACGGCCAAACGUUGGUUUCUCAUUUCUAGAAGAUGAAAGAUGUGAUGACUCAGGAAAAAGUGAGUAGAUGGGGGCCCAAGGCUAUGCGCUGCCUCACGCCACACCCUGUGCCCAUGUGGGUGGGCUCCUGCCUCUAGUGAAAGGCCUCUCUCAACUUCUGGCUUCUCUCCUAGAUCAACUAUCAUAUUCUGUGGGACAAGGGUCCGCAUUCAUUCACCCACUCCCUUUGAUUGAUAUCUGAACAUAUGUUAUUUAUCACUACCACUAACCCCAAGCCCCUGACAAAAUAAGACAGAACAAUCCUGUCUCCUGGAGACAUUCGACAUGUCUUAUCCAUCCCUGACACAGCUGGCUGCUUUCUCCUCUGACUGAUUCAAAUCCUGGAUUCCCCUAGGAAAGCGUUGCCUGGGUGAAAUUGUACCACCAGCAAGAAAGGAAUCUUCCAGGACCGCAGGGGAAAGUCUACUUCCGUAUCUCAGCUCUUAGGAAUGGCUCUCCAACUGCUGGCAUAGCCACAUGGGCUCAGCCAGGGCUGAGUUGGUAUAGACCUCCCUGGUGGCUUACAAAAAAGGAGGCAACCAAGAGUAGGCAGAGAUGAGCAGAGACAGUGACCCAUAUACAGAAGUAUCCCCAAACACAAUGGCCAGCAGCCCGGGUUGCAAUACCUUGGCAUGUGACUAAGUUAUAACUGGACUAGGCUGGGUCCUGAGCCAAAGAAGACCCUGAGGCAGGACCUGUUCACCAUCAGAGUGGGUCACAUUUCUAUUCCAGAGGCUUCACCCAUUCUUUGUUUUGUGCAGCUGGAAUCUUAGUAACUGUGGUGGGCAUUGAGCCUUGCCGUCCACAAGAGAAAGGUAAGUAGGAGAAUGUGGGAGAGACAAUUAACAAACAAACAAACAAACCCUAGACAUUGUAGAGCUGAGAGCAUAGUCUCCCAAAAUGUGCCAGAAGUUGUACAAAAGGGUGGUAUGGUGGUUACUUUGGAGAACACAAUGUACUACAUCUGGAAGGGAGUCUUCAUGAGAGGUUCCCUAGCUCAGUGUGGUGGUUGGGGGCAGAAUGGGACAGAAUGGGAAUGUCCCCCCAUAGGCUCAGAUGUCUGAGCACGUGAUCUCCAGCCUGGUGCUGUCUGGGAGGUUCAGGAGAUGUGGUUUUGUAUGUCCUAGAGUAGGCUUUGAGAGUAUAAUUUACUCAUGUCACUUCCAAGCCGUUCUCUCUGCUUACAGCUUGCUGCUCGAGAUGUGAGUCUUCAGAUGUUCCUGCCGCCAUAUCUGACAGCUGCUGCCAAGAUUCCCUGGUGGGAUGGACUCUUAUACCUCAACAACCAGAAGCCCAAGUAAACUCUUCUAUAAAUUGAAUGACUCAUGCUUAAAAAAAAAAACAAAAA
rnacentral:lncRNA from 1 species